rnacentral:tRNA from 1 species
CAGGGAGACAACAAAAUGUUUAAUAUUAUUAUUUUGUCACCUUAGGUCGAUCGGUAUCUCACGUUUUUAAUUUAUUAAGAAUUUCAUUUCCUAAGUUUUUCUAGGUCACACCCAUUAUUUUUCCUGGGCCAUUAGCUCAGGUGGUUAGAGCGCACCCCUGAUAAGGGUGAGGUCCCUGGUUCAAGUCCAGGAUGGCCCAUAUCUCUAUGUUGGGGGUAUAGCUCAGUUGGUAGAGCGCCUGCUUUGCAAGCAGGAUGUCAGCGGUUCGAGUCCGCUUACCUCCACUGAUUACCACCUCUUCCAUAACCGGUAGAAAGGAAAUGUUUUGAGUUGUGAUCAAAUUCUGAAAGAAUCUAGCUUCCUAAUGAAAUCAUUAAGAUGCUGGACUCAUUGAAUUAUUUUCAUUGUUUUCAGAGAACCUUGACAACUGCAUAGAUUAUUUUUAAAGACAAUAAGCAUCUUUAAUGAUGCAGAUUUAUUAUUUGUGCGAAUGCAUUAAUAACAAUUCUAUUAAGCUGAUGCUUCAAUUUUUGAAGUUAUU